rnacentral:rRNA from 1 species
ACACCAGCACCUCAAGUGGUCAGGAUGAUUAUUGGGCCUAAAGCAUCCGUAGCCUGUCCUGUAAGUUUUCGGUUAAAUCUGUAUGCUCAACAUACAGGCUGCCGGGAAUACUGCAGGACUAGGGAGUGGGAGAGGUAGACGGUACUCGGGAGGAAGUGGUAAAAUGCUUUGAUCUCUCGAUGACCACCUGUGGCGAAGGCGGUCUACCAGAACACGUCCGACGGUGAGGGAUGAAAGCUGGGGGAGCAAACCGGAUUAGAAACCCCAGUAGUCC